CUGGGAGAGGGGUCCGAGAGCUGGUCCAAAAGUCAGUUGUCAAAUUUGCCGCCAUGUCCUGUGUAACCGGAUGCUGGGGACAGCAUCGUGGGGUCCCAAAAGGGCUGUAGGAAAUCCCAGCAGCCACUUCCCCAGGAGCACACCUUCGCAGGUGUCCUCCCAGGUGUGGUGCACGGCAGGUUCGAGGGGCAGGAGCAGGAAGCCAGGGAGGCAGAAGCUCACCUGUGUGGCGCUCCUCCUGGGGGCCCUCUCUGUGCGAGACUGGCCUUAUAAAAGCUCCAGCCAUUGACUGACACAGCCCCCCGUGGGGUGAGGAUUACCAGCUGAUCUUGCAAAGCAGGAAGCCACAGCACAGAGAGGUUUGGCCACUCUCCCAAGGGCACCCAGCUUCUAACCGGCAGAGCAAAACUUUGAAGCCAGGACUAUCUAGCGCCCAAGUGUCGCGUCCCUUGGCCACAUCUGUGGCUUCCAAGGAAACUCACUGCCCCUGGGGUCUUUCCUCCAGGGAGGAAAGCCAGCUCAAAAAUUUUAGUGGUAAAAAAACCCAAAGCCUGGUGUGCAGCAUUUGCCAGGUCGUCAAUACCCCCACCGUGGCCACCGGAGUGACAUCACUGAAGAUGGCUUGGGAAGAGACACACACCGUUGGCCUCCGCAAGCCGUGCCAGCCAGACCGAGGACAUUGCUGCCCCACCGGCCUCCCGACUGUGCCCCACGCGGAGCCUGGCUGGGACCGUCAGGCAUGUAACUGCAGUGAGAACAAACCGUCGCUGAAGGGUCCUCAUUCGGGGUCAGGCCUGUCACUGAGAGGUGUGGAAACUUCAUCUGGGAGUCUGGAAUCUGGAGCCAGUCGGACCUGAUCCAAGUCCAGCCCUGUGCUGGCCAGCCCGCGAGAUGCCCAGACAAGUCCUUCAGCCACUCCGUGCCUCAGUUUCCCCACCUGUGACGUGGAGACUGUGAUCAGUGCGUGGAACCCCUGUCUCUUGCUAACUGCAGGGCGGAGGCCCCGUCUCCACUGGAGGAGGUGGGAGUGGGGUUCCUGACCCUGGGGUUUGGCCAGAGAACCCCAAAGGGGUUUGUUGAAUGAGUUCCUGCCCACCUUGGGAGUGCUGAGCCAGCAGGCCACGGGGCACUUGGGGUCUGGACUUUGGCAAGCUCCCGGGGGCAUCGGAUGCUGGUUCUGGAAGCCCCAGCCCGGAGCUUGUCUACUUUGAGGGUGUGCCCUGCACGUGAGUGGUGGGUUCCUGAGUCAGUCUUCAGAGGACAGAGUGCGUGUCCAGGGCUGGGACCUAACGCUUCUCUUGGUUGGCAUUUCCUCUUUUCCACUCGGUGUCCUAGACCCACACAACAUGGCCCCCCCACCCCACCCGGAGCAGCCUGUGUUUAUACACAAGGCCAUUCCUUAAUCUUUCCAAUCACUCUGUGAGGUAGGGAGGGUCCCAUUUGACUGCUUUGGAGAUUAAAGCUCAGAGAGGUUAAGUAACUUGUCCAAGGGCACACAGCGGGUAAGGGGCAGGCGUGUGCUCUCCCCGACUCUACUGUCUGUUUCCUAAAGCAAUGCAUUUGAGGGUUCCCAGCCCACAGCUAUGAGCAGCUGAGAUGAUGGGGGGUGCUCCACAUUUCUGCUUUGGCGGUUCCUGUGCUCUGAGGGUUCUAGCAAAGCUGUGAGGCCUGUUUCAAGAGCCCCGUGUUCAGGCCAGUGUUGGGCAGGGCCACGCCCAUCUGGCAGGGGCUCCCAUCCCCGCUUUCACAGGACAACCAUUUGGGAGAUGGUGUAGCUGGGGGGCUCCCAGUGGCAGGGUGGCUGGGAGGAGUCAGGUGCAGGUGGCUCUUUAGAUCAAAGUCAAUUAAAAUUAAAUAAAAGUAAAAAUUCAGUGCCGCAGUCACGCCAGCCACAUUGUAAAUGCUCACUGGCCACGUGGGGCCUGCAGCCGCCUCUUUGAACAGCUCAGAUAAGGAUCAUUGCCGUCAUCACUGAAGUUCCAUUGGACGACGCUGGCGGGUUGGUGCUUCUCAAACUUUGUGGUCCUGGAACCCCUUUGGACUCUUAAAAAUUGUUGAGGAACCAAAGAACUUUUGUUUGUGGACUGUGUCUGUGAACGCUGAUCACGCUCGAAACGAAAACUGACAGCAUUCUAAAAUACCUUUUAAUUCAUCUCAAGAUAAACCCACACGUAUUUUUCUACUAAAAAUGAUGGUAUUUUUCCAAACGAAAAAAGACAUAAGGGGAAGAGUGACCUUGUUUUGUGUUUUUGCCAGUCUCUCAAGUGUCUGGCUUCACGAAGGCGACCUGGUUCGCCUGUCUGCUUUCACCUUUGGCCUGUUGUGGGGUCACCUGUCACUCGCGCAAGCUCUGGAAAGCUUUGCUGUGCACGUACGGAGGCACGAGAGGGAAAAAGACAAGCAAGGUCACAGCAGCGUUAGGAAGAUAGUUUGGCUUCGUGGACCCCUCCAAAGGGCCUUGGGGAUCCCUGGGGCCCGGACCAAAGGCUGUUGAGAACCACUGAUCUCGAGUUUUCCCCUUAUUAUAACUGGUAACCCCCAUUGAUGGUGGUCACCGUCGACCAGGACUAUCCCUGUGUCGGCCGAACCUGGAGAGCUGGGCAGGACGGGGAGGCGGGGGGCGGGAGCAGAGGUCCCGGAGACCCUCUGGCUGUUGAGGGCGGGCACUGUGUCUGCGUUGACCCCUGUCGCUCCCAGGGCCCAGCAGAGUCGCCAGCACGUGGCGGGUGCUCACGCAGAUUUGUGGAAGGAGCUGAGGAGGGGCGUGGUCUUGGCGUGGUCCCCACCUGCGCCUCCUCCUCCUCCGAGGUCGGGAGAGCUCACAUGGGAGCCUCUUGUAAGUGUCGGCCCCUCUCAUCCGGGGUCAGAAAGAGGCCAGUUCACAACCGUGGGCUGCUUGGACCCCCCGGCCCCGGCCUUUCCUCUUGGAGGCUCUGAGCCUGGGAAGAUGGAGCGGGGUGCCAACGGGAGGCUCCAGGGUUCGUGUUUCCCAACUCGGGAUUGUAGUGAGCCUUGUCUCUGCCUGGAGUGGGUCCGCAGCGUGGAUGCUCGGUGGUGGACCGUGGCCAGUCCUGGAAGUAGAGGAUGAAUGAGACAGGGCUGAGGACAAAGGGACAAAGUCUGUGUGGUGCGAAGGGUCGGGGUGGCCUCUGUAGAGGGACCCUGAGACUUGUCAAGGCCUGUCUGUAGGCUGAGGGCGUGCAUAGCCAGGUGACUGGCAAGGGGGUUUGUCUUCUUAAAUAUGUGUAGUUGUUUUUUUUUUUUUUUUUCCCUGUGGAAGAUUGGCCCUGAGCUAACAUCUGUUGUUAAUCUUCCUCUUUUUGCCUAAGGAAGAUGGUGACUGAGCUAACAUCUGUGCCAAUCUUCCUCUACUUUAUGUGGGAUGCUGCCACAGUGUGGCUUGACGAGGAUGCUGGGUCUGCACCCAGGAUCUGAACCCGUGACCCUAGGCCGCCAAAGCAGAGUGCACGAACUUAACCACUAUGCCAUGGGGCCGGCCCAAAUAUGUGUAGUUUUUGAUUUCAGUAUACACUUUUAUAUCCUAUAUUUUUACAAAACUUUUUAAGUGUUUUUCCUUAUUUUAAGCCCUCUGUAAACAUUAUUUUGAAAAGCCUACAUCGAGCGGAUGCACCACACUUUAUCUACCCAUUCUUUAAUUCGGGGUAUUUAUCUGUGUCUACACCUGUGAUGAGGAUCCUUCGACAGAAAGUUUUUCUCUCACAUUUAACGCCUUUUCUUUAGGCCCCAUGAAGAAGUUAGGUGGAACUCGCCUUAUGCUGUCUGUGCCACCAGUCGUGGCUGCCGCUGGCCUGCUCAUUCUCUACAGUCGGCCACUGUCCCCAUCCCUGGGGAGUUUGGGCAUCCGGAGACCCACUGCCUGGGGGCUGCAAAGAGCUGGUCCGUUUGGAGGAUUUGUCAACGCUAGCGAUAGCGAGGGGCGUGAGCUGUGGGGGAGGGAGGGAGCCGGGUGCCUGUUUUUUGGGGUGGUCUGGGGGGUGGUAGACAAAGGAGGUGGGCCUCGUGGAGGGGAUGCUGCCGGAGUCAGCUGCGCGGCCCUCGCCCUGGCUGGCGCUGUCCCCCCGCUGGUGGGAGAGGAGACGUUGUUGAGGGUGUCGAGGUUUUACAUGCCGCGGCCCCCUGGAGACCAGCUGGUAGACAUUCAGGGACUCGGCAAGUCGUGUGAGGUCAGCUCACACACACUUUUCUGAGUUCUAGCCCUUCUCUAUCAGUAGAACAGGUGACAUGCGCACAGCUACAAAUGUGUACACAUUCGCACCCGUGUUCUCAUAUAUUUCUUCCUGCAAAACCUGGCAAGACAAAGUUACUGUUUCCAUAUUACAUGGGGAAACUGAGCCAGCUCAGAGAGGCUAAGGGACUUGUCUGAAGUCAUCCAGCGGUGCAGGGCAAGGCCUGGAUCCAAGUUAUGAUUCUCGGGUGUGGCAUCCUUCCUCCUUCCACGGCACCAGCUGUCGUCUCUGCCCCGAGAGCUGAGCUCUGGGGCCUUGGGUGACGGCAUCUCCUUAACCUCCUUCCGGGGCCUCGUGGCUCCUGACUUUAGCGACCACAUCUCUUGGCUGCCGACUUCCUGUACUCGGUCAGUUUGGCCCGAGCCUUGAGAGGUCCAGGAUAUAAAUGCUGGUGUUCUUUGCUUCUGCCUUUGGUUGGAGCCCCUCAGGGCGCUGGCGGGGGCUGGACGCUCUCUCCGGGGGGCAAGGACACUUGUGCCCAAAGCUCCCUGCAAGGCCCAGCAGCCCUGGCAGCCCUGGGGCCCCGAGCUCUGGGAUGCCCUUUGUUGUUGGGGUCGACCAGGCAGUGUCCUGUGGCGUUCAUAUCCGUGCAGACAGCUCUCCUCACCAGCACCCCCGGGAAAAGGGGCAUUUAAACACCUUAAUAAGGGUGAUGGGUCUGUCCAUAAGGGUGAAGUGACCUUUGGUAUCCACCUGCCGUUUUGGGGUGAGGAUUUGGGACCUGCCUGGCCAGGCCCAGCCGUGACGGGUUGUCACCUGUCCACACAGAAGCUCUGCCCACACGCCUCACUCGCAGGUGUCCCGACAGCCUUCUCUUUGCACACCUCUUGGACAGCUUUGUGACGGGUUUUCAAACGACUGUCACCCUCGUUGUGGUGUUGGGAUGGGAGGUGCCACGUCCCAGCUGCCCCGGCAGCCCCCACGGGGAGGGUGACCUGUGCGCCACGGGGUCUGCCCGCUCCAGCACGUGGGAGCAGCUGCAGGUGACCUGGGUCAGCUGCCCUCCUCCGUUGACCCCAGAUGUCAGAGUUUCCCAAACCCUUCCGAUUCGUACCCAUCAUGAGAAAUGCACUCGACACUGUGAUUCCAGUUUACACAUCAGGCUCGGAAACAGGAUCUAACGUGUGAUGCCCUGUGGUGCUUCCUGCCUUACCCAGUGUCCCCCAACCCUGUCCGUCCUGUCCUAUGUCGUUUUUUCAAGUUGCUGGCUGCAACCCCCUAAAUUGAUCUUAUGACCCAUAAGUGCGUCUGAGCCCUCAGUUCUGGAAACUACGCUUGGUGGUCUCCUGGAAAGCCAUGGGCAUUGGUACUCGGUGCUUAAUGCCUCUUGAUUGGCGGCGGUCAGCAUGGUGCCAUCCCUUGGGAGCCUGGGUACCCCAAGGCCACAUGGGGAUAGGUAUAGAGAAGGAGAUUAGGAGCUCGGAGAAUCUGGCUACUCAGAACCCUGACCCCACGGAGAGGAAUACGAGCCCGGAGUCUUGAGUCUCUUGUCCCUGUGAUGGCCUCGCGUUCUGGGGGCCCCAGGGCCGGAUGGUCAUAGAGACCUCGGGCGGGCAGUGCGCCUGGCUGUGCGUCAGCGUUAGUUCAGGCAGGGGUGGGGAGGCAGGAGGGAGAGAGGGAAUCCAUUCGAGGAAAGAGGACCCAAUUUCAGAAGCGCUCUUCCGCCUCCGCGAGCAAUUCCGGAUUCCAGGCUCUGACUUUGCUGGCGGAACUGCCCGCCGGUCCUGUUUACACUGCCAGGGAUCACCAGGACCCCAUCCACUUCUGUGUAGUCAGCUCCGGCUGCUCGUUAAGGCCGUGCUUGGGGGAAAACGGGAGCUCUGAGCGCCUUUCGUGCCCACUUUUAUAGACCUCUCAUGUCCACGAUUCGCGGCGUGACUUUUAAAAAAACGUCCUGCUGGCAUUGGACCCUUUCUGUGUUUGUGAAAUUGCUAUUUUGUAUUAACACAGUGUUUGUUUGAUAAACAUUUGUAUUAAGAAGAAUAAUCCUGCAGGUGGAUGUUAUUGCUUCCAGCGGUGUAGAAGGAACUGAAAUAAACAGAAAUUCAA
rnacentral:lncRNA from 1 species